rnacentral:rRNA from 1 species
GAUGAACGCUGGCGGCGUGCCUAAUACAUGCAAGUCGAGCGAACGGACGAGAAGCUUGCUUCUCUGAUGUUAGCGGCGGACGGGUGAGUAACACGUGGAUAACCUACCUAUAAGACUGGGAUAACUUCGGGAAACCGGAGCUAAUACCGGAUAAUAUUUUGAACCGCAUGGUUCAAAAGUGAAAGACGGUCUUGCUGUCACUUAUAGAUGGAUCCUCGCUGCAUUAGCUAGUUGGUAAGGUAACGGCUUACCAAGGCAACGAUGCAUAGCCGACCUGAGAGGGUGAUCGGCCACACUGGAACUGGGACACGGUCCAGACUCCUACGGGAGGCAGCAGUAGGGAAUCUUACGCAAUGGGCGAAAGCCUGACGGAGCAACGCCGCGUGAGUGAUGAAGGUCUUCGGAUCGUAAAACUCUGUUAUUAGGGAAGAACAUAUGUGUAAGUAACUGUGCACAUCUUGACGGUACCUAAUCAGAAAGCCACGGCUAACUACGUG